CGCGCCGAGGCCAAGCCCUGAAUGGCUGUUUGCCCACGAGGUGAGGUUUCAGGGAGCUGCGUGGCUCCUCCAGCUCCCUCCAGAGAAACCAGAUAUCCAGGGGGAGAAGCAUCUGGAAACAGCGCUGGCAGGAGAGACCGUGUUGCACGCUCUGGGACACCCCAUUGGAUGAUUGUGAAUAAAAGUGAGGAAACCAAGGUCAGUUUCCCGCGUCUGAUCACUGCGCUGACGCUCGUGAAAACCGGAAGCUGUUAGCACCGGAGAAGGCUGCGCGAAGGCACCGUGCUAGUUUUGCAACUUCUGUGCGAGUUUUGGUUUAAAAUGGCUGCAACAUAAGAAAUUAGGUUGUUGGGGGGACAUUCUUACCUCGUUCCCAGCCUUGGGGGGGGGGGGAGGAAGACCUUCGGUCUUUCAGCACAAAGUAUGAUGCUCGCUGUAGGUUUACGGCAAGUGCCCUUUAUCAAGUGAUGAGCAACGUUCCUCUUAUGCCUGGUUUGCUAAGAGUUUUGUUUUAAAAUCAUGAACAGGUGUUGAAUUUUGUCCAAACCUUUUUCUGUGUCUUUUGAGACAAUUAUAGGAUUUUUCCUUUUUACUCGGGCAACAUGGUGGAUUAUGUUACGUUUUGACUAUUCAACCAACCUUGCCUUCCUGGAAUAAAACACCCUCUCUCGUGAA